CCCAUUUAUAUUUUCUAUUUUAAUGGAUAGAUAAAUGGUGGCACAGAAUCGGAGGCCACGACUGUUUACUAAAAACACAACACAGUGCAAUCAUUAAUAUGGUAGUAUACUGUGUGAAAUUUGCCCAAUGCCAUUAAUAUAAAAGCGGUCAUGGGAAACUGUGACUAAUUGAAAAUCUGGUUAAUAGCGGUCUUAACCAUGAGGAUCCUAAGGUAGCAAAAUAAAUUGGCCAUUAAAUGUGGUCCGGUAUCAAUAAUGUAACGAUGGCCUCACUGUCUCUACAACUUGCUCAGUGAAAUUGAAUU
rnacentral:rRNA from 1 species